UCUCUGAAUGCAGGAGAGGCUGGAAUCCCUCAAGCUGACACAGGGGGAGAAGUAGAAUUUAUAAAUCAGCCGCUCCUGAUCCCCUAGUCUGACCUGCUGUGUAGCACAAGCCAGAGACCUGCCCUGAAUGAAUUCCUGCUCGAACGAGAACAGAUUGUUCAGAAAAAACAGCCAGUCUGGGUUUAGAAGUUGCCAGUGAUGGAGAAUCCACCAUGACCUUUGCCAUUGGAUUGUGGUAGACCUUCCUCUGCUAGACCGAAGAGCCCUCUACUAUUAAAUUUCUGUUCCUCGUGUUACUGGCUUCUGCAUCCCCUGAGCUCGUUUCUAACGCCCUUUGAAGGCAGCAGAUACAAGACCUGAGAGCAACGCGUAAAUUGCCGUCCCUCCUUUUAAAAAAAAACCAAUAAAAAUAUUUGUCAGCCUCCCAUUUUUCUGCAUUAAGUGAUUUCCUCCAUCUCCAGGUACUAGCCUAUAAACUACAGAUUAAGGGCCCCCUCCCUAGAGCAGCUUUAUAAAGCAUUGUC